UACGUAGGGGGCAAGCGUUGUCCGGAUUUAUUGGGCGUAAAGAGCGUGUAGGCGGCCAUACAGGUCCGUUGUGAAAACUCGAGGCUCAACCUCGAGACGUCGAUGGAAACCGUAUGGCUAGAGUCCGGAAGAGGAGAGUGGAAUUCCUGGAUGUAGCGGUGAAAUGCGUAGAUAUCAGGAGGAACACCGGUGGCGAAGGCGGGUCUCUGGGCCGAUACUGACGCUGAGGAGCGAAAGCGUGGGGGGAGCAAACAGG
rnacentral:rRNA from 1 species